UACGUAGGGUGCAAGCAUUAAUCGGAUUUAUUGGGCGUAAAGCGUGCGCAGGCGGUUUUGUAAGUCUGUCGUGAAAGCCCCGGGCUCAACCUGGGAAUUGCGAUGGAGACUGCAAGGCUUGAAUCUGGCAGAGGGGGGGUAGAAUUCCACGUGUAGCAGUGAAAUGCGUAGAGAUGUGGAGGAACACCGAUGGCGAAGGCAGCCCCCUGGGUCAAGAUUGACGCUCAUGCACGAAAGCGUGGGGAGCAAACAGG
rnacentral:rRNA from 1 species